GACGAACGCUGGCGGCGUGCCUAAUACAUGCACGUAGGACGCAGUUGCGAACGGGGGAGUAACGCGUAGGUAACUACCUAGAAGAGGGGGAUAACUAUUGGAAACGAUAGCUAAUACCGCAUACUAGGAGAUGGACCUGCUUUGUAUUGGCUAGUAGGUAGGGUAAUGGCCGACCAAGGCAACGAUACAUAGCCGACCUGUGAGGGUGAUCGGCCACACUGGGACGUAGACACGGCCCAGACUCCUACGGGAGGCAGCAGGAGGGAAUCUUCGGCAAUGGGGGGAACCCUGACCGAGCAACGCCGCGUGAGUGAAGAAGGUUUUCGGAUCGUAAAGCUCUGUUGUUAAGGAAGCGUUACUUAACCAGAAAGGGACGGCUAACUACGUGCCAGCAGCCGCGGUAAUAC
rnacentral:rRNA from 1 species